rnacentral:rRNA from 1 species
UACGUAGGGUGCGAGCGUUGUUCGGAAUGACUGGGCGUAAAGGGCGCGUAGGCGGGAUGGUAAGUCGUAUGUGAAAUCCCCGGGCUUAACCUGGGACGUGCAUACGAUACUGCUGUUCUUGAGUACUGGAGAGGGUGUUGGAAUUCCAGGUGUAGAAGUGAAAUUCGUAGAUAUCUGGAAGAACAUCGGAGGCGAAGGCGGAUGCCUGGCCAGAUACUGACGCUGAGGCGAGAGAGCGUGGGGAGCAAACAGG